AAUUAGAAAGCGAAGAAUUGCAUUUAGUUUCGACCUAAACCUUAGGCCUAAGGCCUUCUAAUUU
rnacentral:tRNA from 2 species